AUUAGACUUCAAAUACUAAAUCUCUUUAAGGUGUCUUUUGAGUAUAGUUUCUAUCAUUUGUGACCGAGCGAGUGGUACAAUCAUUCUAAUUAGACAAAAACAUGUCUCUUCUUCUAUUAUACCGCCACAUGAAUGCUUCAGCCCAAAUUGCAAAUAAUUCAUGUAAGUUUGGAUCAAAAUGUUGCACCAGAUUGGCCGGAUUUUUUCCGAUUAGACCGAGAUAUGUUCUUGUAUUACUACCUCUAAUCUAAAUCUACAUGAGCCUAAGAAAUCUACAAUGUGGGUAUUGUCGAACCAUAACAUUUUAUCCAAGAGUUGAGGAAUCCAAUGAAAUGAAUAAUGGGGCAUGACCUACGGACUGGAACUUGCACGGGAGAAGGGAUACAGUCCAUAGGAUGUUGUAGUGAAGGAUGGAGUAAGAACAGCCCACACUUCAACAUCAUGCCAUCAGAGUUGGAGCCAUGAUCAUCAGCAGGACCUGCUGAUUCUCUGCAAUCCACCAGAUGUUUUUGAAUAGGCACAAUUUGUGUUUUUUAAUGUAAUGGGGUUACUAGUCGUCAAUCAGUUACUCUGUAAUGGGUCUGAGGCUUCCCAAUGCACCUGAAAAAGAAAAAUCAUCAUACUUUGAAAUCUUAAUAGAGUAGUUAAAUCCACAACUUUCCAGCUUAA